UUCAUUUUGACUUUGCCCAUGCACAGCUACGUUUGUCUGACAGCAACACUCACACGUGGGAGGAUCACUAACAGCUAAUGAGUUGUCUUUCAGCUCAGCUGUGCUCUGACUGCCUAGCUGAGGAGCGACAAGAUGCACUGUGACCUCAGCCUUACAGAAGCACGCAUUAGUUCACCUCAGGAAACCAGCUCGUUCCCUCAUCCUUCCUGUGGACCAGCAAUCUGUGCUGAAGACUCUGAGGACCUCGAUACGUACAGCCAACACACUAGGUGCUCCUAUUUCCCAUAACCUCUCCCUAAAUUCACAACGUGAGCAUUCUCUGGGUCACAGAGGAACAACCGCAAAGCCAUGCUUGGAGGUUGCUCUUCCUCAGGUGCACCUAUACCCCUUAUACAACCACAGCUUGGGUGGCUGCAGCUGCAGGUGGGCAGGAGCAGGGCAAAGAGGCUGGUGCCAAAGAGCUGCAGGAUUUGCUAAACCCAGAGGUUUGAGCACAGACCUCCACGUGGCUGGAGCUGUUCCUGUGCACAGCUUAUGAGGAGCAGAUAAGAAGAAACAAACCAAGCUUCAGCUGCUCCAAACCACUUGCUGACUGGUGCCACGUGUGCGCACGGUGGAAUUCUGUUAUCCUGCACAACAUGGUAGCCCGGAAGCUAACUAAAACUCAUUUAAUAACCCAUCAUUAAAUACUGAUUUUCAUUUAAUACAUAGAAUUCAAAAUGAAAACUGAAUCCGACUGGGAUUGCUCCGGCUUUCUUCACUGCCGCUGGCUGAAAUACACCAUCUGUGUGUGACACAGUGCUCAGGUUUGGGGUGAAAGCUAAAAGGACAACAUUUCGGUGUUAGGUGGCGUUCACUCAUGCCCACCAUUUGCAAUCAGAACUGAAACUGACGAGGAAAUACAAUGAAAUUAAGACAUAACACUGGACCCGAUCCUGAUGAAAGUGCUCACUGGUACUGAGCUCAGUGCAAGCUCUGCUGUCCCACUGUGCUUAAUGCUGGACACCAGGCAACCCAACGCUGAGCUGCUCAAAGUGCAUUGCUGCAAUAUCCACUACAGCACUCCACACAGACCCACCGCCACCUCAGGGGACGCCUUCCCCAGCAAAGAACUCAAAGAGAAAACUGCAGGAUGAGAAAGCCACCCCAGAAGAAACAAACGUAGAGAGAUCUGACAGAGUGCUGUCAUAGCUUUCAACGCACGUAUCAAAUAAGCCAAACAACCACCGAAUUUAAACCAAAGCUAUUCAACUGUGCAUGCCGUCCCCUUGCAUGCUGUCCCACGAGACUUUAGAUUAGCCCAGAAAGAGCACGUUGCAGCCAGUAUAUCUGAUUUUUUGCUCCACCUAAAUAAGACCUUAGGGCUUAUAAUGGAACGUGUUCUGUCAAAUUUAGUGCAAUUCAGACAUAAUUAUGCAAAAUAAGGCUCUUUCUUCUUUUCCUUUGGGUUUGGUGUGAGCUUUGUUACUCUGUUCAGUUUCACAUGCAAUUCUUUGUUCACUUAGAUUGAGAAAUGAGAUUGAUUCUCCCUCCUCCCUACCUUCUCUAUCUUAAUAGGUAGUUUUAGCAGAGUCUUUUAGAAACAAUCCAUAAAUGAAUUGAACUGUCCUCUACUUAUCUGGAAUGAACAAUUUCCUUGCUGUGCCCUUCUGAGCCUUUCCAUAUCUGUGCUGAGAUCUGUAACAGUGGUAACUGGUGAAAGAAAUCAUCACUGCCAUUAAAGGAUGUUCUAGUAAUGGUGGAAAUGCAUGGUGUGUGUUUCCUUUCGCUGUGACACGAAGAACAGGUAGGCAGUGCAGCAUGAAAGAAACCAGGUACCGUUUCAUUUCUACAAGAUCAUUCCCAGUUCUGCUGUCUGAAGCAUAAUUCCUAGGGGAUGGGGUUCCUCACAGCAAAAGCAAGGACAGCACUGACCUAUACCCUUACACUCACUGAGAGAUUAAACAACACAUCAGCAGUACCAAGUGAAAAUAUAUACAUAUCGCAAUAUGAGAGAGAUUUACUCUUCGUGAGGCACAACAGGGUGCUUCAUUCACCGUAUUAAUAUAAUUACACACAAAUGUUGACAGGAUGUGUAGCAACAGGAAAGUGAAUGAAUUAGGAAAAGCGAUUUUUAUCUCAAUCUUGUUAUUGUGUACCAGAGAAAGAGUCUGGUUGGUGUCUUUGUAAUGAUCGUUUCCAAUUUAGAGGCCUAUUAUCACUGAUACCAGUGCUCAGCAUAGAUGUGUCUUGUGCAUCUUGGCACUAGAACUACAAAUAGAUCAGUUAAGCACUGCAGCACACUAUAAUUGUUUCUCAUUAACACAUUUCCUUUGAAGUUUCAGCGCUGAUCGGCAAGUUGGGAAACGAAUUUGUAUCUCCCCAUGUGUUUUCAGCCCAUGCCAGGCAAUAAUAACGUCUAAAAGGUUUUUAUUUCUUUUAUAUGGUGGAAAGCCGUGUUGUGUUGGCUAUCUAAAGUAUUACUUCUUAUGAAGAAAUGAGUGUUUCCAAGCUGGUUUGUUCACCCCGAAUCAAUAAAGUCCAUGCCCAUGACCUUUUAUAUGUAUGUGAAUGAAAGCAAUGAAGCUUUUAUAUGUAUAUAAAAGGUCGUUCAGGUAUUUUUCCAAUCUAUGGCAAUUCCACUUUGAAAGAGCUGAACACCGAGGUCUGAAACAGUGAAAAUUCAGCUCCUCAGCAGAAUUUACUUUUCUGGGGAGAUAAAGAAAGUAGGUAAAGUUUCAAAUAUUUUGAUCUGGUAUAAUCAGAACCGGGGACACAUUAAUAACGUCUCAUACUGUAAAAAGACCUCCCAGCUACAUCCUUUGGUUUGCAUUGCCACUGUAAUUGCAUUUAAUAUAUUGCACUCAAUUUAUCCAAAAGUCUUGGGUAGUUGGGAACAAUAUGUGUAUAUUAAGCAACCCCAUCCACCCAACUGCUGGCAACUGGAAUAUUAAGUGGCCUUUUUAAUUUUGUUCUGUCAUGUGUGGAUGACCGCGCUUGCCUAAAUAAGCUAUAGAGAAAAUCAUGAAGUGUUAAAAAUGAACAAUCACCUGAAGGCCUUCAAAGCAUUUGUUAAGGAAAUUACAGCCUUGUUCUUUAAACUGUCCCAUAUCAUUUAAGAGGAAAUUGUAUCGUUCCUAUAAAGUACAAUAAAAUACCUUGAUAAGAAUGUGGAAGUUCCAUUAAUCUCUGUUCAGUCCUGCAGGUAUAGAAAUGCAAUUUCUAUGAUGUUCUCUACAGUUAUUGCUGUUAAAUUCUACAGUGCUUUUCCUGUAGAGAAAAUGACAUUGAGUAUUGGAGAAACCCCGUUGGAGAUGAAAUGUCAGUGGCAGAACUCCCCACACCUCAGAAAAGUAACUGAAAUCAGACAAAUGUUCCCGUGCUGAUUACUUUCAUACCUUCAGCUCUAUCAUUCUAUAUAGUCCCAGUUUGCGUGCAUUUAAGCACAUACAAUGAAUAUUUGAACAAUAAAACUCGAUUAUCGGGUCAAAAAGAGGAGUCACAUGCAAAAACAUUAACAAAUGAUUUGUUCUCUGUACAAAGUUUACUAAUUCAAUUUGAUUUUUCUAACGUUAAAUAACAUGCCUAGCAUUAACAUCCCUUACUGACAGGGGCAAAGCCAUCCUUAAAACCGUGGAGGCUGCUGGUGGUUCCUUUGGGCAGAACUGACCACAUAGCAUACAGGAAGAAAAUGUUUAUGGUGCAUACGUAAUUACAUCUCUGAAAUGAUUCUCUUAAGCAACUGGGCAAAAACCAAAAAGCUAUAAACAACAGUGUUCUGCUUACCAAAGUGCCAGGGUAUGAAGAAGAACGCAGAUCCCCAAAAUACCACUGAGACCCGAGUCAGCAAAAUGGCACGAGGAAGUGAAGCCUUUCUCCUCAAAAGGACGCGUUUCACCUUGAAAUACAGGCAAAGCUAAGCCACUUGAAGGGAUUCUCUUUUUCUGAUCUACUGUCAUCAGGACGCUGAUUUAAAGCACGAGGUGAGACCUUUUGGAGUCACAGAAGCGGAGUCUCAAGUCACUGAGUGCUCCUCAACUUCUUAUAUUCCUUCCCAUCUUCAGAAGUAAGGGCUGGAGCUAAAUCCUGCAGGAACAAAUCUGCACAGCAGGAGGAAGGCUUUCAUUGGGAGCUGAACUCGAUGUAGGAGCUGGACUGUAUGACAGCGAGGUCCCUUCCAACCUGAGUUAUUCCCUGACUCUAUGAUUUACAAUUCUGCCUCUGCGUGACAUCCCUCAGUUCACAGUUCUGCAAUAUUAGCUGGAUUUUAAGAUUACAUCAGUUCGUUUAGUAAAAAUGAUCAGUCAUCUGCAUGGAAGAAAGGGCCUUUUUCAUAUUCACUACUCAGGUUAGCACUAAACUUCUAGUUUCCUGGAUUCCUGCUACCCCAUCUUCUCCUUAACAAAGUCAAUGAUUGCAGUAAAAUGUAAAGAUUCAAGUAAUGUCACCUCCACACACUGUGUCAGAAGUAUUUCAUUUCUCAGUGCAGCUUUUCAAGGUUUCCAGCACUAUUUCUAGGAUCGAUCCUCCUGUAAUCUGCAGAAGAUUGAUGUGUUCUGACAGAACAAUAAAACUAACAGUGGGCCCAGAAUGAGUUCAAAUUUAUGGCAAUGGGUUUUGAAAAGUAUACUUUAAAAACACAGCAUGUUGGAAAAAUACUGCUGCCAACGUAAUGGAGGCGUAGGCCUGGUUGGAAAUGAGAAUUUAUGAAGAGUCUUUUGGUAAGUUUUAUAAACUGAAUUUUAGUCCCUUUGCAGUUUUCUGUUGCUCAUCAGAGAGAUUUGCUGAGGAUCAUUAGCUGCAAAAAGACCGAAAUAGCAGAAAGGUUCUCACAAUUAAUUUCAAUGAAGGAGCCCGAGUCCCACGAGACGUAGGUGGCACUGUGUCAUAAAUGAAAUAAGAAAUUAGAAGGAAUCUGAAGCGUGCUGCACUAUUUUGGUUGAGUGUAGAACAGCUGAAAAAAAACCACAACAAACAGGUAAGGAAGUGGCUGCCUGGUAUUUGCUUUCUAUUCCUAUGUGCUCAUUCUCAGCUUUCUGCAGCCCCUCUUUCUUCAGCUAUGCAAGAUAACAGUUUCCAAGAACCAUAAAAGAGAACAGAGACACGAGUUUAAUUGUGUUAUAAAUUGAAUUAUGAUUUAUGACAGGAUUUGCAUUUCAUGAGCAAGACGUUAUGCAAAUUCUUAGCAGAUCCAUUCAUUUAAACGCUUACACAAAACAUUUUUGGUAGCUUCCAACUUGAUUUUAUUUCUGAAAUAGAGCAAAUAGGUGUACCUGUGUCUCAAAGACAUGCUUAAUUAUGUUCAAAAUGUAAUCCCUGAAUUAUGGAAUACAACGUAAUUCAUUUCUACACUAGCAAAAGCGUGCUUUAGAAGUGAUGAAGCAUCCCUUACCAUAUGCUUUAUGGUUCUUGCAUUUGCAUUUACAAAGAAGGAACAACCAUCUUGAAUAUUUUAAUAGCUAUAUAUAUAUAGCGGUAGAUAAUUUUUCUUUCUUAUCCAUCCUUCCAGAUCACCUCAAGUACAAUCUAAUUCUUUAUCUGUUAACAUGUAAAAAUAAAGGUGCGUUAGAAUGCUUACACUGCAAAAACUUGCCAGCAUAUACGAUCUAAUCAGCCCAAAGAUCCACCCGCCCAAGCAUUUUCAUUCUAACAACGUCCACUAUCUCUGCAAUGGUUGAGAAGACAAGGCAAAGACAAGGCAAAUAGUUACGCUUCCCUCUGUUGCACUCUUACAUCUUCCAGCAAACUGCAUCUAAGGGGAUUCCUGAACUAGGAGGUUUCAUCUGCAUAAUUAAAACCCCUCUUAACAUUAGCCCUAUGUUCUGAGUUAAUUGUGAAAUGUCACAUCAGCUAAUUUCCAUCCACCUGGGUUGUGUCUGCAUUGAUCACCUGGAACAGGAGGCUCAGCAUCAGGAUUUUAAACAGCAGAAUGAGAGAGCUGGCACACAGAAUGCUGCUUCAGAGCUGCAUCUUUUGGUGCAAGAGGUAACGAUACAAUGCAAAUAGGAUGGAAAUGCUUACUGAGAUACAAGCCUAUGCAAGCAAAUGCAUUCUGUGAGUUUGGAAGUGGAAAUAAAAACCUCUUGUCAUGCGUGUAUGUUUAAGAAGCAUGAUAAAAAAAAUGUUUGCUCUUUCACAAUUCUAUCCCCACACUGCAGAGAACAAAGCCACGAGGGCUCAGAUACUACUGGGACUUUUCCUUUCCUAUUGGACAUUUCUCCCUAAAUGUACAUGAAAUUCACUCCAGCAUGCUCACGUCGAGCUUGGUAAGGAAAUGCCCUUUAAGUUUUGUCAGUGGGAUGUAAGUAAAUCGCUGUUUUGCAUACUGCCUCUUUCAUGAUGUGCUUUAUCCUGUCCAUAGGUGUGAAGGAGGAUAGACAAAGACAGAGAGAUCGGAAUAGGGAUGGAGGACUGGUGACUGAUUCUUCAGAUCCUGAGCUAUCAUUUCACAAUCUGAUGUUUCCAGGUUUUGUCGGGGUUUGCCAUUCUAGGAACACUGUGCUUCACCUCAAAGUUACGAUCCAUCGGUUAAGAGUACUGAAUGGUGACUGAAAGCAAAAUCAGAGGAGAGGAUUUUCCAGAAGUGCCCUCAGUGCAUUAGAGCUAUAGAGGACUGCAGAGAUAAUGGCAAUUUCCAGACCCAAGUGGGGCAGGUAUUAAGGUUGUGCAGCUGUGUCUGCCUGGACAGAACAACACAUAUUCUCCCAUGCUGCAAUGACAUCACCAGCAUCUCUGGCAGUGACUGUGCGUGAUGGACACAGACCAGAGCAAGUGCAGGAGGGGGCUGCGUGCAAUGUGGUUAGCCAGAAUCUAAGUAAUAAUAGAGGAUCAGAGGGAAGUACUGCUCCCAGUGCUUCCUGGAAUAGUGCUUAACAGCUGAUUCUUUUCUAAAUUUGCCUUUAAUCAUACUCAGCAUCAGGCUAGUGUCUCCUCUGCUAUCCUUAUUACCUGGAACAGAUGUUGAAGAGAGAAUGGACAGACUUCCUAAUUGUGACCCAGCUGCCUGGAAGCUGCUAAACGUUGGUAGAGGCACGUGAAUAGAUUCUCAUCUUGAAUAGUAAAGCUGGGUAGUGAGAAAUGUGCACACAGUUUUGAUGUUGACCAAUGCCAAAAUGAGAACUGGAUAAGAGCUGAAUCCCCCUGCUUACCCUCAGCUGCCUCUCUGAAUUUAGGGCAAACCAGGUCUUCGAGAGUCAUAGAAUGGCCUGGAUUUGAAAGGACCUCAAAGGUCAUCUAUUUUCAACCCCCCUGCCACGGGCAGGGUCGCCAACCACUCAUACUGGAAUGAAAGGUAGUCAUUAAAAAUAUGGCAUACUCAGCAUUUAACCAGUGAAGAACACCAUCUUCUCAUUCCUACGAACACAUCCUUUGGCAUGUGUUUGGGUAUUUGAUGUACCAGUCACUGCCCUACUACAGGGCCACAGGUGACAGAACAGUGGGAACGUGCCCUGAAGACCAGUUAUCUACAGAACACAUCUUUUCUUGCAAUAUUUUCCAUGUGGAAAACAUAUUGACACAAUAUUUUCAUACUAUUGUAUCUAACGUCAAGUGCUGUUCUCAGACAUUAUUUGAAUUAAAGAAAAAAAGGUGAACUUCUAUUAAUACCAUAAGAAAUCAGAUUAGUUCUACUGCUAAAAUACUUGCUGAAGAAGCCAGAUCCUUCCAUCUUCUCCUGCUCAAAGCAAUAGCAAAAUAGACAUAGGCUGUGUGAUGACCAUCUUGUGGGUGACAGCAUUGAGGGUCAUGUUGAAUUACUAAUUAUCCAACAGUCACUUGGAAGCACACAGCCACAUGCAAAGCCCACUCCACCAGGUUGUGUUGCAACAAAAGAACGGCAAUGGGGAAGAAAAGAUAUUUCUUAAUCACAAUUCAUUUCUCACUCACGAUUUAUUUUCUGGAGUAAAUUUACCCCACAGUUGUAAGUAUAGUUUAAUUCCAAUUUAUUUAUGUAUUUAUUUAUUACAUGUAUUUAUCAUGUUUUUGGAUGCAAACCCUGCACAGCUAAAUGGGGGUUUACUUAACCUCAAUUAAGUAGCGUGAUUCAAUGUUUUCAAAUUCUUAAGUGUGAUCCUGCAGGGCAUGUCUUGGGAUUAGAACAGAGGAGAGGAACUCACUGGUAGUUGCUCAUUUAUUCCUGUCCUCACUGCCAGGCAGAAGAAACAAUGCUCAGGAAGUCCAAGACUUUUCCUCACCGUUGGAUCACAUGGGGUUGGAGCUUCACUCCCCAGUCAUCUGACAUCAAUUGCAAAGCUCCUUAGCACCAUCUUUUUGCUCAGAAGAGCACAGGAACAUUUUCCAGGCAGUUGGGUGUUCUGUUAAUACUUCAGACUUUCACAGUCUAGAAUAAACAAACCCUAAGUUUCUAGUCUGUCAGGAUUUGUCAGAGACCUCUUGCUAGUGAAGUGGGCCAACAGGGUCACCUACAGCUGAUCACGUGCUCAGAGCCCCAUCCAGCUAAUAAUGUUGGAUUGUUGACAGCAUUAACAUUUUUAAUUAGUACCACUAGCUUUCAGAAUGCACAAUUCAAUUGCCAUUACUUUCAACAGGUCUACCUAGCUGUUCAGCCCAUCCUGUGCUCCUAAGUGCUUCCAAACUGUAACAGCAACAAAAAACACAGACAUACAUAAGAAAACAGCCAAAUGGCCUGCAGAAGUUCUCAAUAGAAAAAUCCACAGGGCAAUGAAAUACUAAGGUUGUGGCUACAGUAUUAAAAGAAAAAAAGAAAUACAAAGCCAGUAUAUUUAUCAUUCACCUACAUGCUGCAAGAGUCUCUAUUUGUAAUAUAUUUAAGCUGCUAUAUAAUUUCCUUCUCACCAGAACAGAUUGUGAGAUAAUAUCUAAACUCUUCUGCAGAAUUUACAUUCUGUAUUGCUGCAGAGCAAUAAGAGCUCUAUGACACAACACACGGCUUGUCAUGUUUCGGUCUGGAGAGCAAUCUUGAAAUCAUUAGUCAGUUUGCCAGCAUAAGGAACAUAACAGAAUCUGUGAGAUGCAUAUGCUAACAACUUUAACUCUUAUGACCAAGCUGUUUUUGAUAACAGUUUGUGAAUAUCUUUUAAGUAAAUUGGAACUAUUAAUCU